UUCUGCACCUUCAUUGAGCAGCUGCUGCCCAUGUCUUAUUCAUCGCAUGCCACCAGUCCACUUCUCAGAGAUCACAUAGGUGCUGGCAGGCCCUGGCCGAGAAGGAAACGGACAAAAGACCGGAUUCGGGGAUGUCCAACCUGGGGCAGGAGAGACAGUAAACAAAGUGGAUCAUUAGGUUCCAUCACACCACGAUAGAUUACAAACAUCUUGGUACCAAGGACAAACUACCAAGAAGGCAACUGUCAAGGAGGCACCUCAACCAUCCAUCCCCUGGUCCUUACACCUCUGUGAAAUCCUCGCUUUGUGAAUGUUACUUCCAUCCUUAGGCUGUCAAAGACUGCAUUCUGUCUUGCUGGGCUCUGGUUCUAUGAAGUGAGGAAAAUCUCAAGUCAUAAAACAUAAUAUGAAAGGAGUCAUUGAAAAUCCUAGGUCAUACGCUGGCUUCCACAGCAUAAUAAACCCUAAGUGACAAGAAUGUCUGUCUGUCCUUCAAUUCUCUUUUAAGCUGCAAAUGAAAAGACUGUCUCUCCAACAGAAGCCUGGAUCUACUUUUGCCCAUGCCUCAUGGCGAUCCCAGCGGACAGGCUGGGUGAAAUCUUGCUUCCUCCCUCAAAGCCUUGGACCACUUCUGUCCCUGCGUCUGGCUGCAUCUCAACUUCCGAGGUGAACUUCUGCAAGAACUGGAAGGGGAGAUGCCCUGCCAAGGAGACACCCUUGCCUCUAAGCUCAGCUAUGCCUGCCUUUAAUUAAAACCAGUAUUGAUUUCCCUCUCUCUAAUGACAGGCACUAGUCUGCCCUCCUGAUGUUAGCCACUGACAGUUUAAGUAUGAAACAAAGGGCAUUUAUUCAGCACUUAAUACAAAAUUAUGACUGAUUAAAAAGUGAUUUAUCAUGAGAGCUACAUCUGCAGAGGCUUUUCCCUUAGUGCUCAUGGGAAGCAGAGUCUGGAAAAUAACAGAAUAUUUGGAACAAUCCUCCCCUUCUCUAAUCCCAUUCUUCUUCCCUGGUUUCUGCCCAAAGUGAGUGAUAAAAUUUCCACUGAACUCAGGGUCAAACAGCACCAAAAAAGGACAAAAAAUAAUUGUAGGUGUCAGAGUUGCACCGCCUCUUAGAUAUCUGCUGGUACAUUGCCUUGGGGAGGAAAGUGGUCACGAGUUUCCCACACUAUGUUCUUCGGACAUCUGUACCUGUGUCUUGGUAUUCCACAUGUACUCAGCACUGCAGAAACAACUCAAGGCCCUGGAUCAAAGGGCGCUUCGGGAAGAUCUGAGGGAUGCUUCGUGGGCAAGGGAAGGACUCCAUGCCAGUGUCAUGCAGGCAGCUGUCACUGAACCUUUGAGCUCUGCUGUUCUCCAGCCACAAAUGUCCCAGUUAUCCUUCCUUUUUGGGAUCCUUUAAUAGUCACACAUCUUUUUUGGUUAAGGACUUAAACUCUGGAGCCAGAUUCUCAAGGUUCAAAGCUCAUUUGUGCCGUGUAUUAGAUACGCAGCCCUGAGCGUGUUGGCUGGUUAUUUAUUUACUUAUUUAUUUUUGCAGUGCUGGGGAUCAAACCCAGGGGCUCCCAUAUGCUAGGCAAAUAUUCUAGCAAUGAGUCACACUGUAGUUCCUUAAGCAUGUGACUCUUUCCCUGCCUUACUUCUCCACCAGUGAAAUGAGCCUAAGAGCAUGCUAUGGCUAUGUCUAGAUGUCCCCUAAAGCCUCAUGCUGUCAUAGGUGGGGCA